AGAGUUUGAUUCUGGCUCAGAACGAACGCUGGCGGCGUGGAUAAGACAUGCAAGUCGAACGGGAGAAUUGCUAGCUUGCUAAUAAUUCUCUAGUGGCGCACGGGUGAGUAACACGUGAGUAACCUGCCUCUUAGUGGGGGAUAGCCCUGGGAAACCGGGAUUAAUACCGCAUACGAUUGAAAGAUCAAAGCAGCAAUGCGCUAGGAGAUGGGCUCGCGGCCUAUUAGUUAGUUGGUGAGGUAACGGCUCACCAAGGCGAUGACGGGUAGCCGGUCUGAGAGGAUGACCGGCCACACUGGAACUGAGACACGGUCCAGACACCUACGGGUGGCAGCAGUCGAGAAUCAUUCACAAUGGGGGCAACCCUGAUGGUGCGACGCCGCGUGGGGGAAUGAAGGUCUUCGGAUUGUAAACCCCUGUCAUGUGGGAGCAAAUUAAAAAGAUAGUACCACAAGAGGAAGAGACGGCUAACUCUGUGCCAGCAGCCGCGGUAAUACAGAGGUCUCAAGCGUUGUUCGGAAUCACUGGGCGUAAAGCGUGCGUAGGCUGUUUCGUAAGUCGUGUGUGAAAGGCAGGGGCUCAACCCCUGGAUUGCACAUGAUACUGCGAGACUAGAGUAAUGGAGGGGGAACCGGAAUUCUCGGUGUAGCAGUGAAAUGCGUAGAUAUCGAGAGGAACACUCGUGGCGAAGGCGGGUUCCUGGACAUUAACUGACGCUGAGGCACGAAGGCCAGGGGAGCGAAAGGGAUUAGAUACCCCUGUAGUCCUGGCAGUAAACGGUGCACGCUUGGUGUGCGGGGAAUCGACCCCCUGCGUGCCGGAGCUAACGCGUUAAGCGUGCCGCCUGGGGAGUACGGUCGCAAGAUUAAAACUCAAAGAAAUUGACGG
rnacentral:rRNA from 1 species